GUGAAUGUCUCUUCUCCAGUGCCUCGUCCUGUGAUUGGUAUAUAAGCAUAUGCACAUGUUAGGAGGAGAAAUCCAUUGUCUGCAUAACGUUGUCUGAAAUUUCUUACAGGGAGGACAGUCCUCUCUUCCUCUCUGAGGAUUCAGUAGGAAAACUGUUAGCUGCGGAGAACGGGAGCGGGCAGACACCUGAAGGCACUUCCUGGUCAUCUGUGGCAAUUCUCAGGUUAGGCCAAGCCACAAAAGGACUGUGUGGGGUGGUCACUAAUACAUGAUAUCUAAUCAUAGUUUCAUUCCGGGGUACCUACGUAACGUGUACACGCACAGACCCCAAGAAAGGCGCUUCAUUUCCCACCAGUGACUAUAGUCGUUACACUAGGGGACAGCUGUGGACCAACUGGGGGAUGUGCUCCUCUCCUAAGAGGCGGAGAUCUGCGGUCUCAGCUGUCCUGGUGCUUAAACCCAUCACACGCUGGACUGAGCACAGCGCGGACAAGCGGGUGGACCCCGUCUCUCCGCCUCGGCCUCCAGCGCCGCGGAACCACGGCAGAACCCGCGUUCGCCCCUGGCUCGUCUCACUUGGCCCCAGCCCCUGCACCCCGUGAGCCGAGCCCGCUCCCAGCGCCUUACACCUCUGGGCAGGGCGAGGAAAGCCCCUCACGACUAUCAAUUCCCUCCCCCCAGCUAGAAGCGGGGGUUUGACCCACGCUGAUCCCAAGCCCCGGGCGGGCUGGUAGGACUCAGGCCCAAGGCAGGGUCAGAUGCCCUAAUAAAGCCAUCGGGCCAUCACUUGCUGCACCCCAGGGGGGCAGGACUCCAGGCCUUGCAGGGAUCAGCACUGAUCUUGUCUCGGCAGGCACCCGGCUCUUGGCCUCCAGAGCACCCGCCCAGCGAUCUAUUCCGUGGCAGCUGGAGAUCAUGCCCCCAGGUUUGGAAAUAUUUCAUACUACUUCUUAGCAGCAACGGCUGUAGCUAAGGAGCCCAACCCGCCUCCAGAGGGCGGCGCACAGGCGCUUCUCUGAGCGGAGAGCAGACGCCCUAGCACACGUGCUGGAAACGCGGGAUCCGCGCGGCACGGGCAGGGCGACCCCCUCGACUGGAUAGAUCGGCCUGAAUCCGAGUAUGUGACUAGUCCAGCGAGACUGCUUGAGCCCAGAGCUCUCCAUCCCCGGCCACGCUCGGUACCAGUCACUGAACUGCUGCGGGAAGCAAUGAACUCUGGGCCUGAGCUCACUUCCACUGAAGCCACUAACCAAACUACAGGAGAGGAUUCGGCGUAGGCCGUUACUGCUAUUUAUUCUAUGAGGCAAGCACCCUUCUCCAAAGCCCUUGUGCAGCCGACAGCCUCAUCGACUUGGGAGGCGAGUGUAUAGCACGAGGAGCUCAGAAUGGGUCCCACGACCAGCGCAUUGCUUCAGCACGAAGAGCGAGCUCUAUCCUCCCCUCCGAGAUGAUGUAGGGAGUUUUUCUUCUAUAUUGUGGAAAGAAUAUCAGAUCAGUUUCCCUAUUUCAUUAUAGGAUUUUUCAUACGAAGAGUCUUUCAUUUUAAGGGUAAAGUCUGAAUCUGAUCAUCAUGUGAUAUGACUUAUUCUUACUUUCAAUGGCUUCUAAUGUGAGGAAAAACACGCAAUGACAAGUGUGGAAAAGAGCAAGCACUAAAUUACUGUCAGAAAAAUAAACGGAGCAGCGCGCGGCUGCACAGUGAUUUACGGGGGCAAUUAGCCACCACCCCACCGAGCUGCUGAGGCCAGCACUGCUGCCGGCAGAAGUGGCAGGCGGGGAGGGAGGGCAGCCGCGCCUCUGCCUUGCCUCAACUUCCACCAAGCGCGGGGGAGCGGCCCGGCCCGGCCCGGCCCGGCCCCUCCACCCGGGCCUUCUGGGCGCUGCAGGCUCCAGGGUGGAUUCUCCGUCCCCCCGUGUGCCUGCUCUCAUCACAUCUUGCGGUGAUGGGGGGGUCCUCAGUGCAGCCUUCAGGAGCUCUCGUGAUCCUGAGCAAUGUGGAGUAGCUGCAGAUCUGCUUGUUUAUCACCGAGCCCGGCUGGCUCGCAGGUCCUUAAGACUGCUCAGGCAGGGGCAGGAACAUAUGUACUGCAAACCCAAGAUGGCCCUGGAAUUUGUGCUUUCUUCAAAACAGGUAUUUACAGAUACAAUGUCAGUGAUAAGGUCCCUUUUCUUUCCUUCUUUAAAGGGUAACAGCUGUAGGGCAAGAUUGUGAGUGGCUCUAAAGCCAACAGAUUAGCAUAAGAUAAGGUAUAAAGAAGCACGUAUGUCAGGUGACCAGCAUGAAGGAUGGGACAGAAGGACCAUCGCUGUACCAAGCCUGGACCCCAGACUCCUAGUGUGAGUGAAGACCAGAUCCUGACCAAGGGACCUUCCCGGUGACCCCUCGGACAGCAUUGAUCGGGGACGCCUGACUUCGCUGGAACAACUUGGCGCGCACCUGGCAUAGAGGGACUGCCGAUAAGUUGCCAACCCCAUGUGGGCACUCUUUGUUAUUCUGUCUAUCUGUUGUUAUCAUUUACUAUUAGCUCUUUAUUACUGUACUAUCUGUUUGUCGCAUUAACCUUUCUGUUAAUUGUUGUAUGCUAAGCUAUAAGUAAAUUUGCC